AUUGAACGCUAGCGGGAUGCCUUACACAUGCAAGUCGAACGGAGUGGCGAACGGGUGAGUAAUGUAUCGGAACGUGCCCAGUAGCGGGGGAUAACUACGCGAAAGCGUAGCUAAUACCGCAUACUAUUGGAGCGGCCGAUAGCGGAUUAGCUAGUUGGUGGGGUAACGGCUCACCAAGGCGACGAUCCGUAGGUGGUUUUAGAGGACGCCCAGCCAUACGGGGAACGAGACCCGGGCCAGGCGCCUAGGGGAGGCAGCAUGUGGGAAUUUUGGACAAUGGGGGAAACCCUGAUCCAGCCAUCCCGCGUGUGCGAUGAAGGCCUUCGGGUUGUAAAGCACUGUUGGCAGGAAAGCGGUACCUGCAGAAUAAGCACCGGCUAACUACGUGCCAGCAGCCGCGGUAAUUC
rnacentral:rRNA from 1 species